AGCAGCCGCGGUAAUUCCAGCUCCAAUAGCGUAUAUUAAAGUUGUUGCAGUUAAAAAGCUCGUAGUUGAAUUUCGGGAUCAAUAUAUCGGUCGUGCCUUCGGUACGUACUGGUAUCAUUGGUUUCUCCUUUCUGACGAACCAUGAUGUCAUUAAUUUGGUGUUAUGGGGAGUUAGGACUGUUACUUUGAAAAAAAUUAGAGUGUUUAAAGCAGGCAUUAGCUUGAAUACAUUAGCAUGGAAUAAUGAAAUAGGACGUUUGAUCCUAUUUUGUUGGUUUCUAGGAUUGACGUAAUGAUUAAUAGGGAUAGUUGGGGGCAUUAGUAUUCAAUUGUCAGAGGUGAAAUUCUUGGAUUUAUUGAAGACUAACUACUGCGAAAGCAUUUGCCAAGGAUGUUUUCAUUAAUCAAGAACGAAAGUUAGGGGAUCGAAGACGAUCAGAUACCGUCGUAGUCUUAACCAUAAACUAUGCCGACUAGGGAUCGGAUGAUGUUUAAUUUUUAAUGUACUCAUUCGGCGUCC
rnacentral:rRNA from 1 species